CAUGUCUCGAUAUCUGUUCUGUGAGCUGAGGAAAUGAAUCACAAUAUUAUCAGAAAAUGCCAGAAAGCCCUGUGCACAGAACACACUGAAGAGCGGGUUGAUGCAACCAAUUCCUCCAUACUGAUGCCGCAUGGGAGAGCUGAGAGACCUUCUCCUAGCAUGGCUUGCAUUGUGACUCACAGUGACCAGUUCAUGUUUGGAUAAUCGUCCAUUCCUUUUGUCUCAUAAGAAAAGAAGUAUUUCUAUAGUUAUUAAACAUGGUGCUUUAAUGCAAAGACUGCCAUUUUUUAUUAAAUAUUUUCUUUAUUUACAUUU
rnacentral:lncRNA from 1 species